GGAGUGUGGAAUUCCACGUGUAGCGGUGAAAUGCGUAGUUAUGUGGAGGAACACCUGUGGCGAUGGCGACUCUCUGGUCUGUAACUGACGCUGAGGCGCGAAUGCGUGGGGAGCAUACAGGAUUAGAUACCCUGGUAGUCCACGCCGUAUACGAUGAGUGCUAAGUGUUAGGGGGUUUCCGCCCCUUAGUGCUGCAGCUAUCGCAUUAAGCACUCCGCCUGGGG
rnacentral:rRNA from 1 species